UGGGGAAUUGUUCACAAUGGGCGCAAGCCUGAUGACGCAACGCCGCGUGGGGGAUGAAGGUCUUCGGAUCGUAAACCCCUGUCGAAUGGGACGAAAGACUCGCGAGUGAAUACUUCGCGAGAGUGACGGUACCGUUAAAGGAAGCCACGGCUAACUCUGUGCCAGCAGCCGCGGUAAUACAGAGGUGGCAAGCGUUGUUCGGAAUUACUGGGCGUAAAGGGCGCGUAGGCGGCCCUCUAAGUCAGACGUGAAAUCCCCGGGCUCAACCUGGGAACUGCGUUUGUGACUGUGUUGCUAGAGUGUAGCAGAGGGGGGUGGAAUUCCACGUGUAGCAGUGAAAUGCGUAGAGAUGUGGAGGAACACCGAUGGCGAAGGCAGCCCCCUGGGUUAACACUGACGCUCAUGCACGAAAGCGUGGGGAGCAAACAGGAUUAGAUACCCUUGUAGUCCCUGAGCGGGCUGGCAAGGCGCAU
rnacentral:rRNA from 1 species